rnacentral:rRNA from 1 species
GGGUCAGUAGGUUGGUCGUGCCACCGGUACGUACUGGUCUCACUGAUUCCUCCUUCCUGAAGGACCGUAAUGCCAUUAAUUUGGUGUUGCGGGGAAACAGGACUGUUACUUUGAAAAAAUUAGGGUGUUUAAAGCAAGCUAACGCUUGAAUACAUUAGCAUGGAAUAAUGAAAUAGGACGAUCGAUCCUAUUUUGUUGGUCUCUAGGAUUGACGUA